rnacentral:rRNA from 1 species
CAGUCGCCGCGGUAAUACGAAGGGUGCAAGCGUUAAUCGGAAUUACUGGGCGUAAAGCGUGCGUAGGCGGUGAGUUAAGUCUGCUGUGAAAUCCCCGGGCUCAACCUGGGAAUGGCAGUGGAUACUGGCUCGCUAGAGUGUGUCAGAGGAUGGUGGAAUUCCCGGUGUAGCGGUGAAAUGCGUAGAGAUCGGGAGGAACAUCAGUGGCGAAGGCGGCCAUCUGGGACAACACUGACGCUGAGGCACGAAAGCGUGGGGAGCGAACAGGAUUAGAUACCCCAGUAGUCCCUGUCUCUUAUAC